rnacentral:misc_RNA from 1 species
GAACGCACAUUGCGCCUUUCGGUAUUCCGGAGGGCAUGCCUGUUCGAGAGUCAUUAACAACCAGUUCAAUCCCCUUUUAGAAAUACUUCGCGGAUUGGUUAUUGGUGAAUGAGGGGAUCCGUGCAUAACGUACGUUGAAUCACCUCACCACCGAAAUUCAGAGGCGGUUUGUCCCCACGUGUUUGUGGCGUUGUAAAAGCUUUACCAGCACUAUUCGCUCGCAUCGUGGGUCCACUGCUUGCCAUUGGAGAAAUCCCCAUUCAUCAAAGGUUGACCUCGGAUCAGGUAGGGAUACCCGCUGAACUU